rnacentral:rRNA from 1 species
AUUGAACGCUGGCGGCAGGCCUAACACAUGCAAGUCGAACGAGUGGCGGACGGGUGAGUAAUGUCUGGGAAACUGCCUGAUGGAGGGGGAUAACUACUGGAAACGGUAGCUAAUACCGCAUACCAUCGGAUGUGCCCAGAUGGGAUUAGCUAGUAGGUGGGGUAAAGGCUAACCUAGGCGACGAUCCCUAGCUGGUCUGAGAGGAUGACCAGCAACACUGGAACUGAGACACGGUCCAGACUCCUACGGGAGGCAGCAGUGGGGAAUAUUGCACAAUGGGCGCAAGCCUGAUGCAGCCAUGCAGCGGGGAUGAAGAAGGCCUUCGGGUUGUAAAGUACUUUCAGCGGGGAGGCGUUACAAGCAGAAGAAGCACCGGCUAACUCCGUGCCAGCAGACGCGGUAAUAA